AACUCUUUUUCACUGGGGGCCACAUCUACCUUGCAGUUGCCUUCAAAGGGCCAAAUGUAACUUUAGGACUGUAUAAAUGUAGCUACUCCUUAACUGUUAUGCGAGAGCUCAGCACUGUCACUGGGUAGAAACAAGGUACCAGGC